GCAGCUGCGGCCGAGUGGUUAAGGCUAUAGACUCGAAAUUCAUUUGGGUCUCCCAGAGUAGGUUCUAAUCCUAUCGACUGUG